rnacentral:siRNA from 1 species
CUGUCGCACCACGAGGCGCUGUCU